CCAAUCAGAUAUGCCACCAUGAGUGAGCCCGAUCUCGUCUGAUCUCGGAAGAUAAGCAGGGUCGGGCCUGGUGAGUACUUGGAUGGGAGAAGUACUAACCCUGCACUUGAGGA
rnacentral:rRNA from 1 species